GAUGAACGCUGGCGGCGUGCCUAAUACAUGCAAGUCGAGCGAACGGACGAGAAGCUUGCUUCUCUGAUGUUAGCGGCGGACGGGUGAGUAACACGUGGAUAACCUACCUAUAAGACUGGGAUAACUUCGGGAAACCGGAGCUAAUACCGGAUAAUAUUUUGAACCGCAUGGUUCAAAAGUGAAAGACGGUUUUGCUGUCACUUAUAGAUGGAUCCGCGCUGCAUUAGCUAGUUGGUAAGGUAACGGCUUACCAAGGCAACGAUGCAUAGCCGACCUGAGAGGGGGAUCGGCCACACUGGAACUGAGACACGGUCCAGACUCCUACGGGAGGCAGCAGUAGGGAAUCUUCCGCAAUGGGCGAAAGCCUGACGGAGCAACGCCGCGUGAGUGAUGAAGGUCUUCGGAUCGUAAAACUCUGUUAUUAGGGAAGAACAUAUGUGUAAGUAACUGUGCACAUCUUGACGGUACCUAAUCAGAAAGCCACGGCUAACUACGUG
rnacentral:rRNA from 1 species